rnacentral:rRNA from 1 species
UUUAAUUGAAGAGUUUGAUCAUGGCUCAGAUUGAACGCUGGCGGCAGGCCUAACACAUGCAAGUCGAGCGGCAGCACAGAGAAACUUGUUUCUUGGGUGGCGAGCGGCGGACGGGUGAGUAAUGCCUGGGAAAUUGCCCUGAUGUGGGGGAUAACCAUUGGAAACGAUGGCUAAUACCGCAUGAUGCCUACGGGCCAAAGAGGGGGACCUUCGGGCCUCUC